rnacentral:lncRNA from 1 species
CUAUGCAGAUUGCUCUCCCUGCCUGUGCUUCUGCAUGGGAUAUGUGUGUGUUUUUUAAGAAAUAUCUCCCUGUCCCCAGCGCAUAUUCCUUCCUCCCCACCCCCCACCCCAAACACACAUAUGAACACCCCUCAGGAUUUUUGUGCAACUGUACAGAGCGCUGCACUACACAAAAUAUGGGGCUUGCUAAUUAACUCUUUUCCUCGAAUUGAAGUGCCUUACUGCAAGCACAAAGCUCCAAGCACAGACAUCUUUUAUGAUGAACUAGAGCCUCUGAAGAGGAGAAUCUGAACGUGACGUCAAUAGCUGAUAACUGACGCAGCCUUGCAAAGGAGUCUCAGGCUGGCUCCUUGCAGCCUGCAAGCCCUAAUGAUUCUAUUUUUUCCCCAGUCCCCCCUCGUAGUGAAUUACUAGAACGCAAACACACACACCCCUUUUUCUUCAUAUAUGUAUUUAUAGAUCCUUUAUUCUCCAAACAAAGGAUUUUUUAAGGGGGGGAAAGGUACUGGGUGGGGAGGAGAGAAUUUUAUAAAAAAAACCCUUUCUUCGUGCUGGGUGCAAUUCAGUACAUGAAACCACCUCUAUCUCUCGGCAAAGCAAACAUCCCUGCCUGAAAUCCACAUUUGUGCAUGAUGGCAAACUGGUGCAUGGUGGUUGUGUUUUUUCCAAAGCCCACUUUAUAAAGACUCCGGAGGAAGACAGACACAAUAAUGAUUGCAAGGCAACAGGCAGAGAGGCACUGAGACAGACUCAAUACAACUGUGGAUUAGGGGGUUGUGCAAUAGGACAGCAUGGAAGGCGGUGCGGACGCGCCGUCGAGGCCGGAGGCACCGUGGGAGCAGCGAGGGCCGCAGGCAGGGAGCCCGGCACAGCCCCUGUUCUGGACAGAAGGACAGACGUCCGAGGGAAACGAGCAUAA